UCCAGACUCCUACGGGAGGCAGCAGUGGGGGAUAUUGCACAAUGGGGGGAACCCUGAUGCAGCGACGCCGCGUGGGUGAAGGAGCGUUUCGGCGCGUAAAGCCCUAUCGGCAGGGAAGAAGGAGGACGGUACCUGACUAAGAAGCCCCGGCUAACUACGUGCCAGCAGCCGCGGUAAUACGUAGGGGGCAAGCGUUAUCCGGAUUUACUGGGUGUAAAGGGGGCGCAGACGGCAGCGCAAGCCAGGAGUGAAAGCCCGGGGCCCAACCCCGGGACUGCUCUUGGAACUGCGCGGCUGGAGUGCAGGAGGGGCAGGCGGAAUUCCUGGUGUAGCGGUGAAAUGCGUAGAUAUCAGGAGGAACACCGGUGGCGAAGGCGGCCUGCUGGACUGCGACUGACGUUGAGGCCCGAAAGCGUGGGGAGCAAACAGGAUUAGAUACCCUGGUAUA
rnacentral:rRNA from 1 species